GGGUGGGUAGCUCAGUGGUUAGAGCUUAAGUCUCGUAACCGAAAGGUCCCGGGAUUGAAUCCCGAUAGAGGCA
rnacentral:tRNA from 1 species